UUAAUCCUACGGUGUGCGUUACGCUUUGGUUAUAAACCCACAGUAUUAUGCCGGGAGCGCACGUUGGUUAUGCGGAUGCUGGUUCGCAAGAACGUAAGGCAGAGGCAGCUACAGCGCACCCACCUGCCAAGAGGCGGGCAUUAUAACGAGGGCGGACGGCACCUUGGGAUUAAG
rnacentral:other from 1 species